UACGUAGGGUGCGAGCGUUAAUCGGAAUUACUGGGCGUAAAGCGUGCGCAGGCGGUUUUGUAAGCCAGAUGUGAAAGCCCCGGGCUCAACCUGGGAAUUGCAUUCGAGACUGAAUAGCUAGGGUACGGUAGAGGGAAGUGGAAUUCCGGUGUAGCGGUGAAAUGCGUAGAUAUCGGAAGAACACCAGUGGCGAAGGCGACUUACUGGACACAUAUUGACGCUGAGGUGGCGAAAGCGAUGGGAG
rnacentral:rRNA from 1 species